CUCAGAUUCCCGUGACAGGCUGUGACGGGCUGUCACCUCGAGGCCACGCUGAUUGAUGAGGGCUCGUUGCGCCCGCCUGCAGCUGGAUGGCGUGGUGAAGCCGUGCGUGACAAGCGUAAGGGUCACGGCGGCGGGGAGGUCUCCACCUGUGCUGAUUGGCUGCUGCUCCUCACCUUCCUGCAUUCCUUCCUCACGUCGCUGUCAGCCUGAAAAUGGAGACGUUUGACGUCCAAGCACGAGUGCCAUUGAUGCCUUCCUGCCUCCGAUGGAGAGAUUGUGUUAUCAGAGGGGCCCCGGAGCCGGCCCCCUGUCGCUGAUGGACCGAUAAGAACCUCCACAACUUCCACGGCGCAUGACACAAGAAACUAGGACAGUAUUGAUGGUCAAAGUUGCAUGAGAUGUAAGGGAUGACAUCAUAUGUGUAAGUGGGACAGUAUUGACUGUCAAAGUUGCAUGAGAUGUGAGGGAUGACAUCAUAUGUGUAAGUGGGACAGUAUUGACUGUCAAAGUUUACAUUGUUCACAUUAAAUAAUGAUAUUUCCAAA